CCAGACUCCUACGGGAGGCAGCAGUGGGGAAUAUUGGACAAUGGGGGGAACCCUGAUCCAGCGACGCCGCGUGAGUGAAGAAGUAUUUCGGUAUGUAAAGCUCUAUCAGCAGGGAAGAAAGAAAUGACGGUACCUGACUAAGAAGCCCCGGCUAACUACGUGCCAGCAGCCGCGGUAAUACGUAGGGGGCAAGCGUUAUCCGGAUUUACUGGGUGUAAAGGGAGCGUAGACGGCGAUGCAAGCCAGAUGUGAAAGCCCGGGGCUCAACCCCGGGACUGCUCUGGGAACUGUGCGGCUGGAGUGCGGGAGGGGCAGGCGGAAGUCCUGGUGUAGCGGUGAAAUGCGUAGAUAUCAGGAGGAACACCGGCGGCGAAGGCGGCCUGCUGGACCGCGACUGACGUUGAGGCUCGAAAGCGUGGGGAGCAAACAGGAUUAGAUACCCCAGUAAGG
rnacentral:rRNA from 1 species